ACAGCUCAGUCAGUAGAGCACAAGACUCUUAAUCUCGGGGCUGUAGGUUCGAGCCCCAUGAUGGGCA